rnacentral:rRNA from 1 species
AUACGGAGGAUGCAAGCGUUAUCCGGAUUUAUUGGGUUUAAAGGGUGCGUAGGCGGUUUGCUAAACGGGAGGUGAAAUGCCGGCGCUCAACGUCGGAAGUGCCUCCCGAACUGGUGGACUUGAAUGACUCUGCCGUGGGAGGAAUGUGUAGUGUAGCGGUGAAAUGCUUAGAGAUUACACAGAACACCGAUUGUGAAGGCAUCACACGAAGGCUAGAUUGACGCUGAGGCACGAAAGCAUAGGAAUCAAACAGGAUUAGAUUCCCUGGUAGAGCAUGAGGUAAGGGAUUUGAGCUACACGUUGGGUAAUAGUGAAUGAGCGCCCAAGCCAAAACGAUACGUUAUCCGGCUGGGGCGUAAGGUCGUAAGGCGGAAGCUCAAAUGUUGGGCUGGGG